rnacentral:lncRNA from 1 species
AACAUAAAAUUGAGGACAUUUCUACCCAACUGAUCAUUGUUAGAGACUAGAUUCUAUUACAUAGAUAUGUUGAAGACAGCUUAUAUAGCUCACGGUUUUUUUAAAGCCCAAAAAAGCAGGUCAUGCAUCAAUGUCACCGGGCCAAAUGGUUUUGGGCCUGUGAGAUUAGUUCUUAGAUGUGUAUAGCUAAAGCUCCCAUCCCUGCAGAUCAAACCUAACAAGUGAGAUCAGAGUGCAGAGUUUGUAAUCUUCCAUGAGUAACUGAUGAUGCUAUCGUGAUAGUUCUUGUGUUGGAGAUGGAAAAUGAUCUUUCGUGUGGCUGUGUAGGGCUUGGACUUGGCAUAAAACUGAAUUCUGAAAAUUGACUAUAUGGGAAAGGCAAAUAAAGGGUGUCGAUUGAUUUGGCUGUGUAGGGGUUUGCAUUCGCCUUGAAUAGUCACCUCUUUGAGAGCCUAUUUCACUCAUUUUCUCUGUCUACUUGCUGUAGCAGAUGCUGGCUCUCGAUCUUUGUCAUCUCUAGAGAUGAUUCCAGUCUCCCGGACAUGGAUCUCAUUGCGAAAACCCUUGGCUUACUCUUGAUGGUCAUUAUUUGCCGCUUUAUUAGUCGUCAAAGCCCAAGCCACCAUAGCCGCUAGGGAUUUUCAAAACUUGGACCGGCUAAUGUUUCCUCUGCUGCAAUCGACAAGCCUAUACUUGCUCCUGUUAUAUGCUGUUUUGGGCCUUCUCGCUCUUGUUAUAUGCCUGUAAUGCAUCUUCUUCCCCCUGGAAAGAACCCCAUAAUCGCAAUUUAAGCCCUUGUCUGCACUUGCACAGACACACAAACCAUGACAACAUAUACUGUCUCUAGUUGAUGAACUGUGCGUGCACGUAUGGAUAUCCACGUACCGGAGUCUUGAAUCCUGGUAGUACAAACUUAGCAUCAGUCUUUAGUAAACAUAACCCCACCGUAAGAUUCGCAUGCAAAGGGCCAGGCCGAGGAAAGUCUCAACACUUC